AGCAUUUAAUUGCUUCUCUCUCUCUCUCUCUCUCUCUCUCUUUUUUUUUCCCUUUUCCCAGUCAGAGAGUACCAAGUGCCUAGCAGACACUAUCGUCCGCGUUUUUCCUGGUCAGUCUCCCUCAGAAAAUCUAAAGGGAACAGUUCCUGUGCAUUACUACUCAAACAAGAGAUCUCAUCCUAUAAUCCUCCACAGAAAAAGACAAACUUGAAAACAGAAUACGCUAGGGCAAGGAGUUACAGAAAUCAACUAAGUUUAGUAUGAACCAAAAUUUGCAACCACAUUGAACAUGGCAUUUGUGAAUCAAUGACUAAAGAAUAUUCUCAUAACAUUGUAGAGGACAACGCAAGCUGAAGAUGAUUUCAAUUCCACUGAAGGACUGACCAUACCUGCGUUAGAAGCUUCUCUUUUUCCUCUAAUUCUUCAUCAUUAAGAGGUUCAGCCUCGUCAAUCUUGAGCUGCUCUUCCUUUUGUGCUUGGGCUGCAUUUGGUAGAUCAGGAUUACGAGGUACCUGAAAGGUUUCAGAUAUGUAAAAUUU